UGGGGAAUUUUGGACAAUGGGGGAAACCCUGAUCCAGCCAUCCCGCGUGUGCGAUGAAGGCCUUCGGGUUGUAAAGCACUUUUGGCAGGAAAGAAACGUCAUGGGUUAAUACCCCGUGAAACUGACGGUACCUGCAGAAUAAGCACCGGCUAACUACGUGCCAGCAGCCGCGGUACUACGUAGGGUGCAAGCGUUAAUCGGAAUUACUGGGCGUAAAGCGUGCGCAGGCGGUUCGGAAAGAAAGAUGUGAAAUCCCAGAGCUCAACUUUGGAACUGCAUUUUUAACUACCGGGCUAGAGUGUGGCAGAGGGAGGUGGAAUUCCGCGUGUAGCAGUGAAAUGCGUAGAUAUGCGGAGGAACACCGAUGGCGAAGGCAGCCGCCUGGGAUAACACUGACGCUCAUGCACGAAAGCGUGGGGAGCAAACAGG
rnacentral:rRNA from 1 species